rnacentral:rRNA from 1 species
GACGAACGCUGGCGGCGUGCCUAAUACAUGCAAGUAGAACGCUGAAGGAGGAGCUUGCUUCUCUGGAUGAGUUGCGAACGGGUGAGUAACGCGUAGGUAACCUGCCUGGUAGCGGGGGAUAACUAUUGGAAACGAUAGCUAAUACCGCAUAAGAGUAGAUGUUGCAUGACAUUUGCUUAAAAGGUGCAAUUGCAUCACUACCAGAUGGACCUGCGUUGUAUUAGCUAGUUGGUGGGGUAACGGCUCACCAAGGCGACGAUACAUAGCCGACCUGAGAGGGUGAUCGGCCACACUGGGACUGAGGCACGGUCCAGACUCCUACGGGAGGCAGCAGUAGGGAAUCUUCGGCAAUGGACGGAAGUCUGACCGAGCAACGCCGCGUGAGUGAAGAAGGUUUUCGGAUCGUAAAGCUCUGUUGUAAGAGAAGAACGAGUGUGAGAGUGGAAAGUUCACACUGUGACGGUAUCUUACCAGAAAGGGACGGCUAACUACGUG